GAUGAACGCUGGCGGCGUGCUUGAUACAUGCAAGUCGAACGGAGGUUGUAGCAAUACAAUCUUAGUGGCGAACGGGUGAGUAACGCGUUGGUGACCUGCCCCGAAGUGGGGGAUAACAACCCGAAAGGGUUGCUAAUACCCCAUGUGGUCUACCGGUCUAGAUGCCGGUAGAUUAAAGGAUUUAUUCGCUUCGGGAGGGGCCUGCGUCCCAUCAGCUAGUUGGUAAGGUAAUGGCUUACCAAGGCUAUGACGGGUAGGGGACCUGAGAGGGUGACCCCCCACACUGACACUGAAACACGGGUCAGACACCUACGGGUGGCUG
rnacentral:rRNA from 1 species